rnacentral:rRNA from 1 species
AGAGUUUGAUCAUGGCUCAGAACGAACGCUGGCGGCGUGCCUAACACAUGCAAGUCGAACGAGAGUGCGGACUUCGGUCCGUUAGUAAAGUGGCAGACGGGUGAGUAACACGUGGGUAACCUGCCCAAAGGUGGGGGAUAACCCUCCGAAAGGAGGACUAAUACCGCAUGACAUUCACGGGACUUCGGUCCUGUGAAUCAAAGCUAGCCUCUACAUGUAAGCUAGCGCCAUUGGAUGGGCCCGCGGCCCAUUAGUUUGUUGGUGAGGUAACGGCUCACCAAGACUACGAUGGGUAGCCGGCCUGAGAGGGUGAUCGGCCACACUGGAACUGAGACACGGUCCAGACUCCUACGGGAGGCAGCAGUGAGGAAUUUUGCGCAAUGGGGGAAACCCUGACGCAGCGACGCCGCGUGGAGGACGAAGGCCUUCGGGUCGUAAACUCCUGUCAAGCGGGACGAAUGCCACAGGAAUGAAUAAGUCCUGGGGUGACGGUACCGUGAAGAGCC